rnacentral:misc_RNA from 1 species
UAUUACAGGGGGUACUGUCUUUGUGUUUCUUCCCUCCUCUUCCCCCUCUCUCUCUUUUUUUUUAUAGUGUGGAGAAGUGGCCUUGAGCUUGAGAACCGUUCAUCUUUUAUUUUUCCAAUGUAAACAAGGAAAGUGGUAUAUGUGGGGUACUACUGUACUUUGUUGAGAUGGCCACACUCAUGGUUGUGGAGAAUGUAUAUACUGUGUGAGGUGUUGGCUGUGUGUGCCAUUAAUGAUAACCAUUUGUUAUGUUUUGCUUGCAGGAGUGUUACCUCCCGCUAGUCAGGCAGGGUGGAGAGGGGGCCACACAGAAUCCAGUGACACCUCAGCUCAAGGCGGCAGUACCAUGUCGGCUCUGGAGAGUCUCGUCGGCUCAUUAGGUGGAUCCGCCGACGAGAAUGAUGGGGACAUGCUCGGGUCUGGAAUAGUGACCAGCGGAACGACGUGCUACAACAACACGAUAUCUGAUGACCCCUUGGCCACCCACGACUCAGUCAAGUGAUGUGGGAAUGAUGCAGUGAAGGAACACAUCCAAGAGGUGCGACAGAUCCCACACAUCGCCUCUCAUUCCAUUUGUCGGAUGUUCAACUUACCAUGACAGGAGGUGGACUAGGGGGGAUGGGCUCCUCCACUUCCCCGUACACACAACCUUCCAGACAACGGUGCAACUGUCCUUCUUGUGGACGCAUGCUCAGUCAGAGAAGGAACUUAAAACAACACUUAAUCACCACACACAAGAUGUCGCCUGAUGAAGCCACUGUUAUUGUGAAACGCUACAACUUUGAGCUUCUUGUUGAAGAGCCUAUAAUUCAGCCACUUCCACAGCCACCACUCCCACAUUUGCCACUGCUGCCGUCCCCUCCAUUACCCAUGUCCAUGAUGCCAAGCUUAACUGCAGUAUCGCCCCCAAUUCUUAUGAUGCCACCAAAAAGUCCCCUUUCAUCAUAGCCUCCAGUAAGAUGUGUUAUGUUGUCAAUAAACUCCAUUGCGUUAACCCUUUAUUCCAUUGAAAGGUAAUGAGUUUUGCCCCAUCCUCUUAAAGCCUCAAUAUGUAAUAUUAUUCUCCUCUUUAUUAGCAUUCAUAUUAUGUGUCAGAGUUUGAACCUACAAAGCAUUUUCAUUCCCUGUCUCCCGACUAAAAUAUUGUAGCUUGUUGCCCGACACCAGGUGGUUCUUGCUGCUGUACUGACCAGUUGUGUGUGCUAGACAUCACACCUUGCCCCCCCCCCAUUUGACAAUUAGAAGCUGAUCUGGAAGAUGUUCAUCCUUCCUCAUCACAACCACCACUUUUGAAGAGGCAGAUGAGAAACAAAUGUUGCCUUCUGGAGGUAGGCAAAGAAUGUCAACUUUGAGCUGAGUUACCUAGAUAGUGCUUCACACACUUAUGUGCUGCCAUCUUUGAUUUUAAGAAAAAUUUUCCAUCUUGCUUCAGUCCACAGAGAACAGUCAUACCUGCUUGACUACAAAGCUAAUUAUCUGGCCAAUCUUGUUGAAGGGAGAAGCUUAAGAUUUCCCCUCACCAAGUGUUUAAAUUGUUAACUUUACUGUGGAACUUUAGGAAUAACUAAGCAGAUGAACCUCCUGGGCAAGUUCAUUUCUUUGUAUUAUGAACUGUCUUCAGUGAUCUAUAGGAGAGUAUCAUGUUGGUAGUGCGUGUAGUGUGUAAGUGCAAGUGACAGAGCUGGGUUAUAUUGGCUUGAACCUGGUGUUAUGGAGACUCAACAGUGCCUGAGAGAUGGUGCAGGAAGUGAGAUCCAUAGUAUCUGUACGAGAAUUUAUAUUAAGAUGGAUGUCAUACAGUACAUUGGCUGAACUUGAGUUACAUGAGAGAAAGAUUCAUCUUUUUUCAAUGCUUCCAUGUUAAUCUGAUGGAAUUUUGGGUUUGUCUUCUUCCUUCAGAACUGAGAAGAGUCUCUUGAAGGAGGAGUCCUCUGUAGUUGGGUUAACUCUCCUCGGACACACAUCUUUCCACAACUCUAGCUGGCUGUCAGUAAUGAGCUGCUCAGUGAAAGGACUCAAGCUAGAAAUCGUGUUUCUAGCCGAGUCCAUAACCAAGUGGCUCAGAUAUCUCUCUCUUCUCAAAGGGUUAAUAGUUACCAGUGGUCAGCCAGAACUAUAGCAAGAUCAAAGGUGGCAGCCUGCAAUUUUGGUGUGAGGCAGUAGUUAGUGGGCUGAACUCUUUAUCAGACCUACCUUCAGAGAGCAACAAUUGUGAUGGGGCAGGCACUUGUGAGACCAACGUUCAGAUGUCAAGUGAGGAUCAGGCACAACAUCCAGCCCCCACAGUUGACCAUCACAGUAACAUUAGCCAUUUGGUCAUGGGUUCAACUAGUCUACAGUACACGAUUUCAGUAUCAAUCCUCUCAUUUUGACCACUUAAAGAUUACAUUUUUGUAUUAAAAGUACAAUAUGCGUGAGGUGUUCAUUAGUGCUAGUAAUUUUGCUCUGUGACUUGUGAGCUGCAUCAGUCUGUAGUUUUUUACUUUGUAUGAAAAUUAUACAGAUUCUAGGAGUGCAGCUUCAGUGUUUUAUAAGAUAUUUCAUUAGAUUCAGAAAAAAUACAUUUGAUGCAAGGUUGCACUCAGUCUUUCAGGAAUUUAAAUGAAAUAAUGACAAUAAACUCGUGUUUCUUGCUUCUCAGAUGUUCUCCUGGGGAAGCAAAGUUGUGUAUUUGUGGUGCUUGAUAAUAAGUGAUAACAUGUGCAGCAGAUGUUGUUGCCUCCAGUGAAACUAAAGAAUCUCAGCUCUCUUAAAUGUUCUUAAUUUCUUCACUUAAUUUGGCAUAUCUCAAUUAUAUAAUUUUUAAUAUUUGAUUUGUAACUUUCUGAUUGAAAAUUUUAAUGUAGUUUGUCAUUAGUAAUUAUAAGGUAAUAUAUUUUAAUGUUUUGUAAUGAAAAACAUAACUACUAUUUGGGCAGUGGAUUUUUCAGAUAUUACCACACUGUUUGAAAAUAGUGUACUGUACAGCCUAAAGUGUUCACCACAAGUACAAUUAGCCUGUGCUAUGGAAGACAUUGUAAAUUCACACAUUAAGUCGACGUGGUCGCUCUUCUUGUUGAGGUUACAUGCCAGAACCACUAGUUAUAAGUAAACUGCUGUUGAUUUACAGAUUUAAACUUACAGUCAAGGUUUGCUCAUGCAAGAGCUGCUGAGGGUUAGUGCUGGACAUCUUCAGAAUUUCAUUGUUUUCCAUAGUACCAUGCAUGUAGUAUUAAGGAUCUCCUCCAGUAUCUGCCUCCAUUUGCUCAUAGUGUAAAAAAAAAUUUGUGAUAAUUUGUCCAUUUUUUAUAAGACAGACAUAUAGACGUCAUCAAAGAUGAUCAAUCAUAGUGUUAAACAUUUGUUCCUUGCACAUGAAAGGAAAAACUUGUCAUUGAUGAUAAUGUCACUCACCCUUUUUCAGAUGUACCACUUUUUCCCAAUUGGAUGACCCAAAAUUCCCUUACUGUAUUUAGUUGUUAAACUAUGACUUUCUAUACAGUAGUGACAUAGUUAUUAUGGUUAGGUGUGAUGUAACUUUAAAAGUUACACACACAAACAGUUUUUUUGUAUGUGGAUGAGAGGACAGUGAUGGACAUUGAAAACUGAUUUACUGGAUGGUGGGAGGGGUUGUGUAGGAGGAAGUGCUACUUUCUGGAGACCCAUCUCUUGACUUCUUUUGUACUGUACACCUGUGGCAGGGUAGGAAGAUCACCCCACCAAGUCCUGUACAGUGUAGCUAAAGGAUGUGCAGUGAUCAGUGUGAGACGUAGGAAGCAGGAGUGGAGAACUUUGUUGAAGUUGGCAAGCUUACCGCCCCAAGUGAUUCAAAAUCUUCUUGUCUCCUGCCUGUCCAUAUAUGCAUUGUGUAAGGUAUGGACAAGUGACUAAACUAAUAAUUGAGUAUGAUUCAGUGAAUGAUUCCUCUAGUUGUAAACCUGAAGUUUUGAUGAUACUCUCAUACAUAUGUUUUCUUCCACACUGAUGGUCAGUAGAUGGUACUUGCUGCAACCAGCUAAAAAAAAUAAUAAUAAAAAAUUGAAAACUGCUGUAGCUGCUGUACAUUGGUGGGUCAGUCAUGGAUAUUACCACAUUACUUCAAUGUUAUGUUGGCUCAUGGAACAUGUGUUCAAAUAGGAGGUGUAGGGUGGCUCCUCUACAGUACUGACUGGAGCUACUCUGUUGAAGUAGGUGUAGGGUGGCUCCUCUACAGUACUGACUGGAGCUACUCUGUUGAAGCAGGAGGUGUAGGGUGGCUCCUCUACAGUCCAAUACUGGCUGGAGUUUACAGUGUUCAAGUAGGAGAUGUAGGGUGGCUCCUCUACAGUACUGGCUGGAGCUACAGUUACAAAGUUUGAUGAGAAUGUCUCGGGCAUUUAUUUUAGAUUGUGAUUUAUCAGAAUUUCCUUGAUUUUUUUAGGGAAGGUCACAGUGCUUGGAUUCUCUUGUUGCAAAUUCUGAUUUUUGGUGCUGCAUUUUUGGAACAUUAUUUGCUCCUGUUUGUGAUAUUUGUAUACGUAGCAUUUGAUUAAGUAUUAUGAGGUAUGAUAAGUAUCAUUACUUCCUGAAGGAGGUAGCUGAAAGUACACUGAGCCCUCACUAAUUCGAUAUUCACACAUUGGCUUAUUUUGGUUAAUUUGAUCGAGCAAGAACCCCGACGAUGCCGAAUUAGUGAGGGUUCAGCGUAUCCUUAUUGCCUUUCCCUUUUAUACGAGUCCUCUUCUACUUAAUGUCUAAGGGUUUUAUGUCUUGUAAAAACUUUAGAAGAAAAACCAAACAGCUACUUAGUUAGUUUUGUAAGUUGAUGAUUUUAUUUAAAGGUUUUAAUUCUGUUGCCAAUUAAUGAAAACCAAGGAAAAUAAUAGAAGCAUAUGAAGUACAGUAAAGGCUUUAAUAUGUAGGUAGUGCUGGAUAUGACGAUGUAUUGUAGUACUGUAGUUAUGAAAGUCCAGGUGAAAAUCUAGUAUUGUACUGUAGUAUGCAUUUCUGUCGGUCAUUAGUGAAAGUUCCAAAUACUAGAGAUGUCCGGUUAGUGAGAUACCAUAUAAGAAAGCUUUUACUGCACUUGUUUUAUUAUAUAACUUAUAAAAUAAAGACUAUAAGUAAUUUGACUUCUUUGUGAAAAUGUUCCAAGGAGCUGCUUUAUAUUAUGUAACCAUGAGAGAAAUAGAGAGAAUUAUUGAGUUGGUUCAGAGGUCCUGGUAAUUUAGUUAUGAAUACUGUACUGUACUGUAUAUGGCCAUUGAAGAGGAGAAUAUAAUAUUUAAGUAACAUGAAACCAAAUUGCAGUAUGGGAGGAAAUUCAAGUUUUAUUUUGAGUUACCAUUUUCAGAAGAGCGUGGCGGUUGAGCGGAUACAGUGCUCGCCUCUUGUUCCAGGGUUGGUGAUUUGAUUCUUGGGCACUCCCAGUUCACCCAGCUGUAAAUGGGUACUGUACCUAAGUUUACAACUUGGGGAAGUGACUGUGGUCGAGUGCAGUACUGGCAAUGCUGCCUUCUCCUGUACCAAAGGAAUAGUAUACAGUGUGCUAUAUCCAUACUCCCUAACGGGCAGUCAUGCCUAUGGGACCCACUUUCACUUUCACCAUUUUAAACGUCCCAUAAUAAUAAUAAAUUGAGUUUAAUGGUAUUUUGAAGAUAAAUUUUGUCGGUCGUGACUUUAAAAAAAUGAUAGAAUUAAUCCUAAAAUUUUAUAAUCUGCCACACAUCUGAGGGCAGGAGUAUCAGAUUUUUUGGAUCACCGGAAAAUUAGAAACCUUAGCUUUUAUCACCUGAAGGUUAACCACCAUAGUGCUGACCUAACCUAGCCAACCUAAACCAACCCAACCUAACCUAUCCUGGUCUGACCUACUCUAACCUAACUUAACCUAUCUACCCUAAUCUUACCUUCGUAGGUAGCAUUAGGGUAGUUAAUCUUUAGAUGAAAUAAGCUUGGGUGUUAAAGCUUCAAGCAUAUUAAGCUGAGGUGUCAAAUAUUAGUCAAAUUAAGCAGGGGUGUCUAAUCUUCAGGUAUCCAACUUUUAUUUAAAAGGUCGGCAAUCAUUAAUUUAUUCAGCAGUUCUUGGCGGAUGUACAAGCCAGCGCUGAGUUUGUUAUGACGUUGUGGUACCUAAAGUAACAUUAUUAUUUAUUUAUAUGUGUUUUGUUGUCUCAUAAAGGGAUGGUGUAUAUGGAAUCUUCCUCACACAUUCUCAAUCUUCCUUAUACAUUCUCAUUCUUCCUCAUACAUUCUCAUUCUUCCUCAUACAUUCUGUCUCUUCACAACCACAGACUAUCAACCAUCUUCACACCAUUACUUCACAACAACUGGACGCUGACUCAUAUUUGUUAAUGGUGAGUUAAGUGCUUUUUUGGUGUAGCUAUUAAGAAAUGCAAGACACUUUAUCAUUUCAUUAGCAUAAGACUGUGAAAACUUUGUCGAUUGGUAGAAAAUGAAAAUAGAGAGGCUGAGGAAUACAGCUCCUCCCCGACAUACGACUUACGACCACCCGCACUUACGACCUGCUUCAGUCAUACCAAAAUUUUGUCAAAUUGCUUAUUUUCGAGUCCCAACGUCA